rnacentral:rRNA from 1 species
AGAACGAACGCUGGCGGCAUGCCUAACACAUGCAAGUCGAACGCUCUGCGGGUUUCGGCCCUCAGGGAGUGGCGCACGGGUGAGUAGCGCGUGGGAACCUGCCCUUCAGUGGGGGAUAACCGAGGGAAACUUCGGCUAAUACCGCAUACGCCGGGAAACCGGGAAAGAUUUAUCGCUCUAGGAGGGGCCCGCGUCGGAUUAGGUAGUUGGUGGGGUAACGGCCUACCAAGCCUGUGAUCCGUAGCUGGUCUGAGAGGAUGAUCAGCCACACUGGGACUGAGACACGGCCCAGACUCCUACGGGAGGCAGCAGUGGGGAAUAUUGGACAAUGGGCGCAAGCCUGAUCCAGCAAUGCCGCGUGAGUGAUGAAGGCCUUCGGGUUGUAAAGCUCUUUCGCACGCGAGGAUGAUGACGCUAGCGUGAGAAGAAGCCCGGCUAACUUCGUGCCAGCAGCCGC